UUUGGGUGACGCGGAGGGACAUUACAGAGUUGCAAAACUCCCUAAACCAUUGUGAACGUUACCUAUACCGUUGCUUCGGCGGGCGGCCCCGGGGUUUACCCCCCGGGCGCCCCUGGGCCCCACCGCGGGCGCCCGCCGGAGGUCACCAAACUCUUGAUAAUUUAUGGCCUCUCUGAGUCUUCUGUACUGAAUAAGUCAAAACUUUCAACAACGGAUCUCUUGGUUCUGGCAUCGAUGAAGAACGCAGCGAAAUGCGAUAAGUAAUGUGAAUUGCAGAAUUCAGUGAAUCAUCGAAUCUUUGAACGCACAUUGCGCCCGCCAGCAUUCUGGCGGGCAUGCCUGUUCGAGCGUCAUUUCAACCAUCAAGCCCCCGGGCUUGUGUUGGGGACCUGCGGCUGCCGCAGGCCCUGAAAAGCAGUGGCGGGCUCGCUGUCGCACCGAGCGUAGUAGCAUACAUCUCGCUCUGGUCGCGCCGCGGGUUCCGGCCGUUAAACCACCUUUUAACCCAAGGUUGACCUCGGAUCAGGUAGGAAGACCCGCUGAACUUAAGCAUAUCU
rnacentral:rRNA from 1 species